CCUACGGGAGGCAGCAGUGGGGAAUAUUGGACAAUGGGCGAAAGCCUGAUCCAGCCAUGCCGCGUGUGUGAAGAAGGUCUUCGGAUUGUAAAGCACUUUAAGUUGGGAGGAAGGGCAGUUACCUAAUACGUAGUUGUUUUGACGUUACCGACAGAAUAAGCACCGGCUAACUCUGUGCCAGCAGCCGCGGUAAU
rnacentral:rRNA from 1 species